rnacentral:tRNA from 1 species
GACGGUGUAGCUCAGUGGUAGAGUGCAUGCUUAGCAUGCACGAGGUCCUGGGUUCAACCCCAAGUACCUCCU